rnacentral:rRNA from 1 species
AGCAGCCGCGGUAAUUCCAGCUCCAAUAGCGUAUAUUAAAGUUGUUGCAGUUAAAAAGCUCGUAGUUGAAUUUCGGGGUUAGUAGGUCGGUCAUGCCUCAGGUAUGCACUGGUCUCACUGAUUCCUCCUUCCUGAUGAGCCGUAAUGCCAUUAAUUUGGUGUUGCGGGGAGUCUGGACUGUUACUUUGAAAAAAUUAGAGUGUUUAAAGCAGGCUAACGCUUGAAUACAUUAGCAUGGAAUAAUGGAAUAGGACGUUCGAUCCUAUUUUGUUGGUUUCUAGGAUUGACGUAAUGAUUAAUAGGGAUAGUUGGGGGCAUUAGUAUUCAAUUGUCAGAGGUGAAAUUCUUGGAUUUAUUGAAGACUAACUACUGCGAAAGCAUUUGCCAAGGAUGUUUUCAUUAAUCAAGAACGAAAGUUAGGGGAUCGAAGACGAUCAGAUACCGUCGUAGUCUUAACCAUAAACUAUGCCGACUAGGGAUCGGAUGAUGUUAAUUUUUUAAUGACUCAUUCGGCGCCUUACG